GUGCUCACUUCAGCAGCACAUAUACUAAUAAUAUUGGAACAAUACAGAGAAAAUUAGCAUGGCUUCUGUGCAAGGAUGACAUGCCAAUUUGUGAAGCAUCCCGUAUUUUU